GCGAGGGGCGCCCUAGGGUAACACCGGUAAUUGGGGCUAAGUCGUAACAAGGUAGCCGUACCGGAAGGUGCGGCUGGAACACCUCCUUUCUGGAG
rnacentral:rRNA from 1 species